CAGGCCUAACAAUGCAAGUCGAACGGCAGCACGGGUGCUUGCACCUGGUGGCGAGUGGCGACGGGUGAGUAAUAUAUCGGAACAUGUCCGGAAGUGGGGGAUAGCUCGGGAAAGCCGGAUUAAUACCGCAUAUGCCCUGAGGGGGAAAGGAGGGGAUCGCAAGGACCUUUCGCUUUCGGAGUGGCCGAUAUCGGAUUAGCUAGUUGGGAGGUAAAGGCUCACCAAGGCGACGAUCCGUAGCUGGUCUGAGAGGACGCCAGCCACACUGGAACUGAGACACGGUCCAGACUCCUACGGGAGGCAGCGUGGGGAAUUUUGGACAAUGGGGGCAACCCUGAUCCAGCCAUGCCGCGUAGUGAAGAAGGCCUUCGGGUUGUAAAGCUCUUUCAGACGGAAAGAAACGUCACGGUGAAUAUCCGUGACUAAUGACGGUACCGUCAGAAGAAGCACCGCUUAACUACGUGCCAGCAGCCGCGGUAAU
rnacentral:rRNA from 1 species